UUUUCUUCUCUUUCCUUCCUCUGCUACCGAAAAAUUGAAAGAAACCAACUGAAAUCAUGCACAUCUAAGUUUUGCAGAGACAUAAAUAUAUUUAGGUACUGAUGCUGUCGAUGUUGGAGCUGGUGCUUGUUAUAAACUCUCCUCCCAUUGAAUUUGUUGGAAAACGAAGAAGUUAGGUUAAUGUCAAUUUAGGCUUUUAUGGGAUUCACUGAUUUUACUUCAUUCCUAGUGAUAUUAAAGUAUGGGGUGUAGAAGCUAUAAUAGGAGCUUAAUAAAACAAGGCAAAAGUACCUCUCAACACCAACUAAAAUGCAUAUGAAGUGUUUGAGAAAAGUCUCUAAAGAAGCAGAGGUAAAGUUCUUCUGUUUUCUUUACUCUUUUCAAUAAGUUGAUAUUCUUUCCAUAAAUUAAUAAAUGGGGUAUGUAGUGUACACCUAGAAUUUAUGAUUCAUCAUUUUGGAUUUUGAAAAUUUAGAGUAUCUUCAUGCCGGUGAAGUGAGUACGUAAAUGAGUCGUUUCAUGAAAAUUGCACAGACAGCCAUAUUGAGGCCUAUUUCUACGUGUAUGGGUAAUGUUUUAGACGAUCUUUUCUUCACGAAAAAUGUUCCCCUAAGUAUACCAUGGGGAACAUUUUUGGGUUUGUGGUUUGGUAAUUAUACCAUGGAAUAUAUAGGCAGUUGGAACUGAAUCUCCUAGAAAGUAGUUCUUGUUACUGUUUUGCUGGGUUUUUCUAGGGCACUUGGACUCUGAAUUAGCCUUUGGAGCCUUCUAAGAAGUUAUAGAUGGACUUCUCUAGUUUUCAUUGAAAUAUUAUUUGUUGAAUUCCGUUAUAUAGCGAAGUCCGUAGAAAUUUUACAAUGUAGUCACUCAAGCUGGAAAACUGGAAGGCUUGGCUGUCAUGAAAUUUUUAGUAUGUUGAUACAGUACCUCAUCCUUAAGACCGAACAGUUGUGGCAUUUUUAGGGAACUUCUGUGUUGAUUACACUUUGGCUUCUCAUUUAGUGUUGGUCAUGGAGACGUUGUUUAGACCAUUUUGCACGGCAAAAUGAGUGAAACUGGUGGAACUCAUUGUAGUGAAUAUUUUGUUCUUGCAACAUUUACUUGCUAACCUAAAUGAAUGCACUUGAGAUAAAACUUUGCAGUAGAGUGGUUAUCUAUAUAUCUUGAUGAUUCAUUUUGGAAAUAGUAUAACUAUUAGUCACGGGCUGGUCCUAAUAUAAAUUCUAUCGUUGUGUGAGCGAUGUCGAUUUCCAUCGGGGCUUGUUCUUUGGUAUGAAUUCAUGUAACUGUCUUAGUAGCCAGCGUGAUGAUGGGAAAGUUAGUAUGUGAUGAUGGGAAAGUUAGUAUGAGCUGGAAGUGCGUUCAUUUCUUUCGAAUCUGGUGAUAAUUAAUAGUUAGCGUAAAUGUAUAUCGUGCUUCACAGAUAUGUCUGCUUAAAUUAUUUGGGUUUCGACACGCUAUUUACAAAUGAAUUCGACGAUACUUGCAAAUAUAGCUUUAGAAAUCUAGAAUUAGUAUCGUGGACCUCAUGGUAUUUGUGAAUCCCAUUUCUUUCAUUAUUAUUUCUAAUUUGCAAAAAUAUUACUACUUCUGAUCAGUUUAGUAUUUAAAUGUGCUUAAUUGUAUACCGACGAGAAUCCAAGUGCUAGGUGAAUUAAAUUCGCAAGGGAUUAACCAAUUCUAGUAGAUAGUGUUAUUCUUCCGGUUUCUGAAAGCUUAAUUAUUGCGCUAUGGGUUGAAUUUAUUUUCUGUUAUAGUGGUAUUUUUCUUAUUAAUUGGGAACAGAGCUACUGUAUAGCUAGUGCAGAAAAUGCUUGUCUACCUGUUGGGUUUCAGGGAAUUGUACAAAAGGAAACUAUCACAUUUUUAAUAAUUAGGUAGAAUCUGCUUGUACAUUAAUAACAUUUUAAAGAGUUCUGAUGAUAAACUUAAUGUAAUUAGUUUGUAACUGUGUUUGUAUAUACUUCUUAUCUAGUGUGCGCACCUGUGAAUUUGAUUGGUUAAUUAGAUUAUUGGGAACACGUUAGUGCUUUAUGAAAUGCAGGUCAGACAAGCUAAAGGCCGACGGGCAACGUACCAUGGUACAUGGAUAACUGUUGUUAUCCAGUUUGUACCAUCCAAUGUUAGAUAUAGUUAUUGCAAGAGAUAAUUGCUACUUAAAGUAGUUCAUAUUAUCUGGUAAGAGAUAAUUGCUACUAACAAGGGUAGUUCAUAUUAUCUAAAUAAAUAUUUGACGAACUACGGUCGUGCUUGAUCCUUUCGAGCAACGGAGAGGGUACGUAGGCAGCCGCUAUGCGGUUCAGCACAACUCUACAAGGUGGUUCAUAUCAUUUGGAAGUCUUGGUUAUUGUUUUGCAGUUCAUACCAUCUAUCCAGAGAUGAUUGCAACCUUGGAAAGUAUAUAUCAUUGGCAACUGGCCAAUGAUGGCUGGUAACCAGAACUACCUUGAUAUUGAAAACUGGCCAUUUGUUAUUUUUUUGUAAUUGGUCGUCUGUGGAUUUGGCAACUGGCCGUCAGUUAAUUUUUGGCAAUUGGCCGUCUGUGAAUUUUUGGCAACUGGCCGUCUGUGAAUUUUUGGCAACUGGCCGUCUGUGAAUUUUGACGAUUGGCCGUCUGUUAAUUUUUGGCAACUGGCCGUCUGUGAACUUUGGCAACUGGCCGUCUGUGAACUUUGGCAACUGGCCGGCUGUUAUUAUUGGCAACUGGCCAUCAGUUAUUUAGGCAACUGGCCGACUCUUAUUUUAUUUUUGGAAAUUGGAACUCUUGAAGUUCAUUUUAUGAGUAUUAUGGUAUGAGACAAAUGCUCAUAGAAUUCUAACUUUGAGACCAAUGAGAUUUCUUUUCAGCAGGAUCUCGACUUUGUUGUCCGGUAAGAAACGAUUGUUACCUACUGAGGUAGGGAUUUUAUCAAUGAACAUAAUUUUUUUUCCUUUUUA